rnacentral:rRNA from 1 species
UACGUAGGGUGCAAGCGUUAAUCGGAAUUACUGGGCGUAAAGCGUGCGCAGGCGGUUAUGUAAGACAGUUGUGAAAUCCCCGGGCUCAACCUGGGAACUGCAUCUGUGACUGCAUAGCUAGAGUACGGUAGAGGGGGAUGGAAUUCCGCGUGUAGCAGUGAAAUGCGUAGAUAUGCGGAGGGACACCGAUGGCGAAGGCAAUCCCCUGGACCUGUACUGACGCUCAUGCACGAAAGCGUGGGGAGCAAACAGG